GGUUACACUGAAAGUGAUUGGAUUGUCUUCUUCUCCCUCUCUUCUGAACUCGGUGCGGCGGCGGCUUCGCAUCUCAGGCAACAUCACGACGCCGGAGAAAGCUUAUUCUCCGAGCGGAACCUCGCCCUCUCUGUCUCUUCUCCGUCUUAAUUCCUCUUCUCACUUCUUCGAUCUCUCUUCGACUCAAGUUCUCUUUAUCUCCAUUUGCUUGCAGACUCAAAGUUGUUGAAGAGUGAUGAUGAUGUUGCUUAUUGCAGGUGAAGAUUAUUGAUGCGUCAAUUUCGGUUUCGUGAAUGUGUGAGACGAUGAGGAUGUUGCGUGCCUGAGUUUGCAAGUUUGUUGAAGCGAUGAAGAUGAUGAUGAACGUUGUGAUGAUUGUGGAUUGAAGAAGGUGCUGAUGAUUGAAGAUCGAUAAGGCGUUGUUGCUGGAUGUUGCAGAAAUGGAGGAUGUGCGAUUGGUGCUGAAUCGAUGAAGGUUUUGUCGAAGAUUGAAGGAAAUAUCAAUGGAGAUUUUGAUUCGAGUUGUGAAGAUGGAGAUUAUGGAGUAUUCUCUAGUUCAAGGUUGAUGAGCAGAGAAAAAUGAAGAUGAUGAAGGAUUUUUGUGGAAGUUGAAGAUAGCGUUUGGUGAUGAAAGAUCGAAGAAGCGGUUAUGGUGAUGAAGGUUCAGAGUCUUGAAUUUUUCUGUUAUUGAAUUUGGUUUUAGAAUUUUUUUGAAGAUUGGAGAAAGGUUGAAGAGUUUGAAGAGAGAGUUCUUGAAGUUUUUUGAAGCCUCAAUGGAGGAGGUUGAAUCGAUGAUGAGGAGGUUUUCUCAGUUGAAUCCAUGGAGAGAGUGAAGGUUGUCCGCAAAAGUUUGUUACCGUUUCUUUUUGGUUUCUUUUGGUAUGAAGUCGCGGUUCCAUUUACCUUGAAUGCAUAUGCGAAUGUUAGUUGAAAUUUGAAGAUGGAAGCAGGACAUUUGGGAGCUUGAAUCCUCACGGUAGGAAAAAGUUAUGAACAAGACUCAAAGAAUGAUAUGGAAGCAUCAAGAUCUUUGAUAAGUUUAUGAUGAUUUUUUUUAUUGUCAUUUUUGUAAUGAUGUAUGGGCUUUUGAAUGUAACUUGAACAUUUGAAUCUUUUGUA